CCGGCAGUAGACUAAAAUCCCUGGGGGAAGGCAAAGGGUUGGUGUUGAUCAUUUUACCGAAGCAACACAGGGCAUCACCGACACUCGCAAACCCACCACCAGCUCUGCGAUUUCUCCUCACGUAACUCAAGACCUGGUUCGGGUCGUCUAAAUUAGGGUUAGGGGUCGAAGAAAACCUCCGACGACGGCAAACCGAGAAAGGAUGAGAGAGAAAGAGAAUGGAAAGGGAUGAGGACUUGCAGGAGAUCGCAGCUGGACCCUGAAGAAGAAGGAAGAAGGAAUAAGCAGGACAGAGACUCGCGCGCUUCAUCAGCUUGAUGCUGAUGAAUGUGAAAACUGCAGAGCUUUUUGCUUUAGGGUCUCUCUCUCCCCCUACCAAGGCAGACUGUAAUGGCACUUUUGACAGGUCUUCGAGAUUUCAGUCAGAGUCGAAUUCGGAAGUCAUACUCUGAAAACCGAACCGAACCGAAAAUUUGGGUUCGGUUCCGUUCAGUUCGGAAGAUUCUUCUAACAAUUCGGUUUAGUUCAGUUUUUGAAAAAAAUCGAACCGAACCGAAUUGUUGAUACCCUAGUUGAGACGACCCCUGAAAGCCUUAUAAUUUGUAAGAGUGUGAUGUGCACCUCCUCAUGAACACUAAUUGAGCGACCAUGGCUGCAAGCUCGAGACUCUAGUGGGUAUGGCUGCCAGCUUUGAGGCGAGCUGCCAGCUUUGAGGCGAGCUCAUACCGACCCACCUUGACAUGGUCAUCGCGAGCUUAGGGCUUGAGCUCAACUCUCGUCUAUAGCAGAUGCAAUGGACCCUCUCUCUCUCCCACACACACAAUUCUCUUUUUAUUUUACUCAACGCGACACCUAUUUUGCGCAAUAAUAAUGUUACGACAAUUUUAGCACGAGC
rnacentral:lncRNA from 1 species